rnacentral:tRNA from 1 species
GUGGUUGUGACUCAGUGGUAGAGCACUUGCCUAGCAUGUGUGAGGCACUGGGUUCAAUUCUCAGCACCAUA